rnacentral:lncRNA from 1 species
UUUGCCAAUAUAAAAUGUUGCUGAUGAAGUUUUUUUUAUUGUUUUAUACAAUAAACAAUGUAUAUUCACUUUUACUACCAACCAAUCUUUACCAUUCAGUGAUAACAAGCACUUUAUUUAACAUUUUAAUAUUUUAUGAUGUAUUUAAAAGAGUAGUUAUUGUUGCAAACUCCAUUAGAAAUUUGAAUUGAUAUCAGUUUUGGAAAAAGGGAAACGGGGAUGUGAAAAAAAAGGGGGGGUUUAAAUUUUUCUCAUUUCAGAUUUCAUAAAUAAAAAGAAAAUUUCUUCAAACAUUUUUUUGAGAGGAUUAAUAUUCAACAGCAUAGUGAAUUGCUCAAAGGCAAAAAAAACUUUUAAGUUCAUUAGACCACAUUCAUUCUGUGUCAGAAACCUAUGCUGUGUCAACUAUUUAAUUUUAGAUUUAAAAAGUUUGAAGAAGAAAUCUUUAAUUGAUUUGUAAAAUCUGGACAUUUGUUUUGUGUAAAAAAAAACCAUGUAAUGUAAAAAAUUUGAUCACAAUCCAAAUUCAGAGCUGUAUCACGCUUGAAUGUUUUGUCCAUACUUGCCCCAACUGUUCAGGGUUUCGACCUCUGCGGUCGUAUAAAGCUGCGCCCUGCGGAGCACCUGGUUACACCUGAUAGCCAAGUUGAAAAUUUUUCGUCACAUUUUUCUCAGGAACUACACUACCAGGAUUUCUGAAAUUUGGUUUCCGGCUUGAUAUAAGUCAGCUAUACCGUGUGAUGCGUUAUCAGAUGAUUCAUCACUCGACAACUUCCUGUUUACCGAACACUUGCAUAUUUUUUCACUAUUGAUAUUAUCCACUUGCGGCGGGGGUAUCAUCAGUGAGCAGUAGCUCGCUGUUUCACUUGUUGUUCCUUUUUCAACAUUGGCUAUAAUAAAUGCCAAACUAAUUUCUGAGUUUACAGUAUAUGUAAGGCGCACAGAGGGGAAGACAUUUUAACAUGGACAGCUACCCUUUAUAAAAUGGUAUAUUGAAACAUAAUUUAUAAAUCCUUUCUCUUUUAUUUUGUAUCUCCUUAAAUGUAUUGAUUUACUAUGCAUUGCUUUAUUUAUUAUGUAUGUUUACUGGUUUUUGUUUCUUUAAUGAAACCUUUACAAAUAGUAAUCUCUUUUGUAUUUAAUGUUAUUGAAUAUGUAAUAAAAUAUAUAUAACAUCAUUAGCUAAUUACUAUUUCUGAUAUUUUAAAAUGAUUAUUGAAGGAAGAUUAAUAUAA